rnacentral:rRNA from 1 species
AUUGAACGCUGGCGGCAGGCCUAACACAUGCAAGUCGAGCGGAGCGGCGGACGGGUGAGUAAUGCCUAGGAAUCUGCCUGGUUGUGGUGGAUAACGACGGGAAAUGGGCACUAAUACCGCAUACUAAAAGUUGAGCCUAGGUCGGAUUAGCUGGUUGGUGGGGUAAAGGCCUACCAAGGCGACGAUCCGUAACUGGUCUGGGGGGAUGAUGAGUAACACUGGAACUGAGCCACGUGCCAGACUCCUACGGGAGGCAGCAGUGGGGAAUAUUGGAAAAUGGGCGAAAGCCUGAUCCAUCCAUUCCGCGUGUGUGAAGAAGGUCUUCGGCUUUUAAAGCACUUUAAGUUGGGAGGCGUUACCAACAGAAUAAGCACCGGCUAACUUCGUGCCAGCAGCCGCGGUAAUAC